rnacentral:piRNA from 1 species
UGUCAGAAAUGCAGGUCAGCAAGUUGG